AACGGUGGAUCUCUUGGCUCGUGCAUCGAUGAAGAACGCAGCCAGCUGCGAUAAGUAGUGUGAAUUGCAGAAUUCAGUGAAUCAUCGAAUCUUUGAACGCAAAUGGCGCUCUCGGGUUCUCCCGGGAGCA
rnacentral:rRNA from 1 species